rnacentral:lncRNA from 1 species
GCGUGUAGACUAGAAACCGUUUGGGUUCAUCUCAAAAAAAGAAAAAAAGGAAAGUUAACUCUACCUACUACUACUCUUCUUCUUCUUCUUCCUUUGCCUCUGGUUCUAGGGUUUUUAUUAGGCACAUCCAUCUACUUAUUAGAACAAUUUUGUUGAUUUAUUUAGUCUUUAGGAUUAGAUUUUGGAAGCAAACAUUGUUUAAUGACAAAUAAUGGGGAGGAUUUCUGGUCUUUAUGGAAUUUUAACUUCAGGUAUUCCAUUAUUUCUGCUUAUCUUCAUGUUUAUUAAGUCUGUAGUUUGUAUUUCUAAGCUUUUGGUCGUUCCGGAUCUUACGGGUUUUGAGCUGCAUUUUGCUUUUGCUGCUUAUUUGGUUGUUGAGUUUGUAAAUAAGGUAAAAGGUAAAAUGUUUUGAAGAACUUAGGAAGACUCAAAAUUUUACUAUAUGGGCUUAAGUUCUAUAGACUUGAGUUCCUCAUAAAAAUUAAAGUUACAUAAAUAUUGAGUUUGUUGUAGCUGGUGUUUAAGUGUCUAGAUGUAUAAAAGUUAUCUAUAAUGUCAGUGUAUGAUAAUUAUAUCAAGGAAAAAAUGUGUUUUUUUAUUAAUAUUUUUCCGUUAAUGCCUAGUUUAUUUCUUUGAAUGUAGGUAGCCUUAGUUUUCCUCCUCCUUCUCUGGUGUUGACCCUUUUUUUCCAGUGAAGGAAAUGCUAGUUGGAAUAAAGGAGGAAGACAAGAUUGGGUUGAAUUACGUGUUGCUUGGAUAUUUAUAGUAUA